UGCUAGAUAAGACGAGUGGCGAUAGCAAGGUGUUAUCGCCGAUGGUGGUCUCACACGUGCUGUUUCCCUCUUUACUGCGAGGGAACUUGAGGCUUAUAUAACCCGCAGCGGUAUCCAGCGCCAUAAAGGACAGCCAUCCUGACGACUGGUGUGAGCAACAGCAGCCGCGAGCGGCGGAGGGGUUCCUACGGCAAUCUACUGCAAUCUACUGCAGGGAAUGGCGAUAGGAAUUCUAGCUCCCUCGACAGUACGGUGGACGAACCUGCGCCGGCGGCACAGGACCUGUUGCUACAGCAGAUGACUUCACUCCGUACGCUGUCUCAACAGCUCGGCAGCUCCUCAGCCGUCCUCGGACACCCCGUUGCGCAUGAACUUGACGCUUUCCAGCCACAGCGACCCAGGUCAGAAGACUUCCUCAUCGACUUGGACGCUUGCCAUAGGGAAGUCCGAGUCACCGACGAGAUCGUCCGGCGUAGAGUAUACUGUCCGCAGCUCUUGGAUGACUGUCCUUCCCGUGACGUCUUGCACUUGCCAAACGUUUGAAAACGUGGGAGUGUUGCGGAUAGCAAGGUGUUAUCGCUGAUAACCCCCUUUAUUUCCCAAUUCUUUUCUUUUUAAUUUGCUUGUUUAAUUUUCCUUUGUUCAUUUUUUUUUUUUUUUUUUUGCGGAAUAGCAAGUUGACAUGUCGUCUGGCUGACCUUUCCUCCCCCUUUUUGUUCUAAUAAAUAUCCCCCCCCUUC